ACAUACUGCUUAUAUGCACAGUACUAUAAAUUUGAGAAAGUCCAUUCUGCAGCUUUGUUCUAAUCCAACCUCAUGUCUCUUCAUGUGGAAGUCAUCAUUGUGACUCUGAAACAAUAUACUUUCUCUCUCCUGCUAUGUUAAAUUCACUACCCAUCUAGCCAUCUUUGCUCUUAAUAGCAUCAGUCUCCAACCACAUAAUGAUACAGGUUCUGUUUUAA
rnacentral:lncRNA from 10 species